UUAGAUACGCUAAUGUCGUUUUUACCCUUAAGUUAGUGUCAUUUUGGCUACGCUAUUAACACUAGAAGAGUUUUCUUCCCCCCGUGCCUCCUUCACUCAAUCACUGUGUCUCUCAGCCAUCACUCCCUCACCCGUCACUGCCGUUCUCUAAUCUCUCUCAAUGCGCCUCCUCACCUUGUCUCUCAGUCAGCCAUCACUUCACUCUCACAGCUGGGAGCCCCGCAGCCUUGAAGCCAUGUAACCUCUUAGCCUUGCAGCGCCUCGCAGCCCCACAACCCCGUCGUCGAGCACUUGCCCACCUCACUGUCUUGACAAUCGACAACUGUCACAAAGAUGAAGUCAAAUGCAUUAAAGGCCACAAGCUCAAGCUCAAACUCAAUGAGAUCAAAAUCAUCAAAUAGCUCUCGUGAAAAAACUAAAUUCAUCUACUUCUACUCCAUCGUAAAAGGACAUUGUUUGUGAAUCAACUCCACCUCAACUCUUCAUGGUGGCACCUCAACAAGUUCCCUCAUCCUCAUGGUGGAUCCAAAAAUUCCUCCGAUGCAACUCUAAAAGAAGGUGGCUCAAGUGAUCAAGUAAGUAAAGAAGCUUUCUUGGAUUCACUAAAAAAUCAUGAAAGGUCUACAAUUUGGGAGCACUUUGAUAGAAUAAUUGAGGGAGAUAGAGUUAAGAGGUGUGCAAGUAUUGAAAUAAACCAUUUAUGGCCGACCCGGAUGAAAAUGGUACAACUAGUAUAAGAAAUCAAUUGGCAAGAUGUAGAAGCUACGGUCCUAAUAAGGAAAUAUUUUUCGCAAAUAGGCAAAAUAUCUUAACUUUUGCCUGCACGAAAGAUAAGUUGGAAGCUAUAAGUUUUUCUUAAGUGGAAGUUACUAAGACUUGUGUUGAGAUGAUAAUUAUAGACGAGUUACUUUUUUCUUUCGUCGAGGGAGAUGAUUUUCGUAAUUUUUGCAUGCAUGUCCUUUGUGGAGAGUGCUUAGUCGUAAGACAAUAGCUAAUGAUGUACUUGACUUGUUUUAUUCUGAAAAAGGAGAAAUUGAAAAGUCAGUUGA